AAUGGAGGAAACUCUGAUGCAGCGAUGCCGCGUGAGUGAAGAAGGCCCUUGGGUUGUAAAGCUCUUUCGUCGGGGAAGAAAAUGACUGUACCCGAAUAAGAAGGUCCGGCUAACUUCGUGCCAGCAGCCGCGGUAAUACGAAGGGACCUAGCGUAGUUCGGAAUUACUGGGCUUAAAGAGUUCGUAGGUGGUUGAAAAAGUUAGUGGUGAAAUCCCAGAGCUUAACUCUGGAACUGCCAUUAAAACUUUUCAGCUAGAGUAUGAUAGAGGAAAGCAGAAUUUCUAGUGUAGAGGUGAAAUUCGUAGAUAUUAGAAAGAAUACCAAUUGCGAAGGCAGCUUUCUGGAUCAUUACUGACACUAAGGAACGAAAGCAUAGGUAGCGAAGAGGAUU
rnacentral:rRNA from 1 species